GAUGAAGAACGUAGCGAAAUGCGAUAAGUAAUGUGAAUUGCAGAAUUCAGUGAAUCAUCGAAUCUUUGAACGCACCUUGCGCCCUUUGGCUAUUCUGAAGGGCAUGCCUGUUUGAGUAUCAUGAACACCUCAACUCUCAUGGUUCGCCAUGAUGAGCUUGGACUUUGGGGGUCUUGCUGGCCUACGGUCGGCUCCUCUCAAAUGAAUCAGCUUGCCAGUGUUUGGUAGAGUCGCAGGUGUGAUAACUAUCUACGCUUGUGGUUUUCUGCCAGAUAACCUUCGGUGAUGGAGGUUCGCUGGAGCUUAUAAAUGUCUCUCCCCAGUGAGGACAGCUUUUUGAACGUUUGAUCUCAAAGCAGGUAGGACUACCCGCUGAACUUAAGCAUAUCAAUAAGCGGAGGA
rnacentral:misc_RNA from 1 species